AUGAAGAUCACGGCGCUCGUCGUGCUGAAGCCGUCGGCCGGAGGCGCCGGGGGCUCCUCCUCCAGCGGCGGGCAGGGCUCCGAGGCGCUCGUGCUGGCCAACGCCACGGACGUCAGCCACUUCGGCUUCUUCCAGCGCGGCGCCGCCCGCGAGUUCAUCGUCUUCGUCGCCCGCACCGUCGCCCAGCGCACCCAGCCCGGCCAGCGCCAGUCGGUCCAGCACGAAGAAUACAAGGUUCACUCACACAACAGAAAUGGCCUCUGCGUGGUGGCAUUUAUGGAUGAUCACUAUCCUGUACGAAGUGCAUUUUCUCUUCUGAAUAAGGUACUUGACGAAUACCAGAAGGCUUUUGGGGAUGCUUGGAAAGCCGCCACAGCAGAUUCCACUCAAGAGUGGCCUUUCCUGAUGGAAGCUUUGACAAAAUUUCAGGAUCCUGCAGAGGCUGACAAGUUAACAAAAAUUCAGAGGGACUUGGAUGAAACAAAAAUUAUCCUACAUAAAACUAUAGAGAAUGUCCUUCAAAGAGGAGAGCGAUUGGAUAGCUUGGUUGAAAAAAGCUCAGACCUGAGUGCUGCUUCACAGAUGUUCUACAAGCAGGCGAAGAAAACAAACAGUUGUUGUACUAUACUCUGA
rnacentral:rRNA from 1 species